rnacentral:tRNA from 1 species
GGCUGUAGCUCAGUGGCAGAGUGCUUGCCUAGCAUGUGUGAGGCCCUGGGUUCAAUCCUCAGCACCA